CUUGCAUUCUGAGAAAAAGUCCCACACCAUUAUCAUGGUCUACUGCAUCCUGCACAAUCUGGCUCUUCAUUACACUUCUCCCUCAUCCCCAUCUCCUUCCACCUCACCCACUGGACUCCUUGGUGUUUCAUUAGAUAUUUUUAAUAUUGUCUAUGUGUUGAAUUGAUAACAUUUUAUUUAUAAUGGGUUAUACUAAACAUAUUAAAAUCGACUUUCACUUGUUUGUUUUCUUCUGCCUUGUUAAUGUGGCUGCUAGAAAAUUUAAAAUUAUAUACCGGGUUCACAUUAUAUCUAUGGGCAGCAUUGGUUAUUGAGUCUAUGUUGACUGUGUGUCUUCCCCUAAGUGUCUGGUUGUGGGCUGGGGGCUACUCUUGCACAACAGGGCCAGCAGUCAGGAAGGAGAUUUGAAUGUGGAGCACAGCAGAGUGAGCACGAGCUGAAACCCUCCAAGCAUAUUUUCAUCACUGUAUUGCCUGUGAACAUCUUCAGAGUGUGAUGACUCCUACUUCCUCUGAAUCUCAUUUCUUUUUCUCUGGAAAUGUCUACUGAAUACAGAAAUGAACACACUGAAAUAUUUUCAUGCAUUGCCUCAGAGGAAGGGUGACCGAAGGAGAGCUCGAGAAACGGAAAGAGAAUGAGAACAGAGAGAGAUAAAGAAAAGCAUACAAAAUAUUUAUUGCUGCAUUUCCGUGCCUUCUCCACAAUAUUGAGGCCUGAAUUAGGUAGGUAGUUGAAAUCUCUCUAAAAGUGAGUCAGAUAUUGUGUCCGGAAUUGGUGGGUUCUUGAUCGCACUGACUUCAAGAAUGAAGCCGUGGACCCUCGCGGUGAGUGUUACAGCUCUUAAGGUGGCGCGUCUGGAGUCUGCCCCUUCUGAUGUUCAGAUGUGUUCGGAGUUUCUUUCUUCUGGUGGGUUCGUGGUCUCUCUGGCUCAGGAGUGAAGCUGCAGAUCUUCGCGGUGAGUGUUACAGCUCUUAAGGUAGCGUGUCUGGAGUUGUUCAUUUCUCCCUGUGGGCUCGUGGUCUUGCUGGGCUCAGGAGUGAAGCUGUAGAUCUUCGCAGUAAGUGUUACAGCUCAUAAAAGCAGCAUAGACCCAGAGUGAGCAGUAGCAAGAUUUAUUGCAAAGAGCGAAAGAACAAAGCUUCCACAGUGUGGAAGGGGACCCGAGCGGGUUGCCAAUGCUGGCUCGGGCAGCCUGUUUUUAUUCUUAUCUGGCCCCACCCACAUCCUGCUGAUUGGUAGAGCCGAGU
rnacentral:lncRNA from 1 species